UACGUAGGGUGCGAGCGUUGUCCGGAAUUAUUGGGCGUAAAGAGCUCGUAGGCGGUCUGUCGCGUCGGUCGUGAAAACUUGGGGCUUAACCCCGGGCCUGCAGUGGGUACGGGCAGACUAGAGUGCGGUAGGGGAGACUGGAAUUCCUGGUGUAGCGGUGAAAUGCGCAGAUAUCAGGGGGAACACCGGUGGCGAAGGCGGGUCUCUGGGCCGAAAUUGACGCUGAGGAGCGAAAGCGUGGGGAGCGAACAGG
rnacentral:rRNA from 1 species